CGUCCGACUCCACCGAGAUCUUCGUACGGCAGGAGCGGGGGACCCAGGUAAGUCGCCGGGCCGGACGUCUUCGGACGCGCCGGAACGGCUCGGGGUGAAGUCGCGUGCCCUUCGUGGUGCGCGGCCGGGCAGCUCCCGCCCGAACCCGACAGCUCACCUCGCAGGCGCCGGAGAGGAACU
rnacentral:sRNA from 2 species